AUUCAGCUGACGAGUCCCGAAUAGGACGAAACGCGCGUCAAACUGGAU
rnacentral:hammerhead_ribozyme from 1 species